rnacentral:miRNA from 1 species
UCAACAGCUGAUUCAUUGGAUC